AAUGAACGCUGGCGGCGUGCCUAACACAUGCAAGUCGUGCGCGAAAGGGGCUUCGGCCCCGAGUAGAGCGGCAGACGGGUGAGUAACACGUGGGUAACCUGCCCAGAAGUGGGGGAUAACCUGGGGAAACUCGGGCUAAUACCGCAUACGUUCGCGGGGUUCUGCUCCGCGAGGAAAGCCGGCCUAUGCUUGCAAGCUGGCGCUUUUGGAGGGGCCCGCGGCUGAUUAGCUUGUUGGUGGGGUAAUGGCCUACCAAGGCGACGAUCAGUAGCCGGCCUGAGAGGGUGAACGGCCACACUGGAACUGAGACACGGUCCAGACUCCUACGGGAGGCAGCAGUGGGGAAUAUUGGACAAUGGGCGCAAGCCUGAUCCAGCAACGCCGCGUGGAGGAUGAAGGCCUUCGGUUGUAAACUCCUGUUAGGGGAACGAAGGGUCACGGGUUAACAGCCGGUGACCUUGACGGUACCUCCAGAGGAAGCCCCGGCUAACUCUGUGCCAGCAGCCGCGGUAAACACGAG
rnacentral:rRNA from 1 species